GGUCUGCGUGAUCUUCAGAGAGUGCGACAGGCUCGUCAAGUUUCUGGCCGGCCGAUUACAGUCGCCUCACUAUAAGGAGUAACCUGGCGGAGCGAUAGCUGUACGCAAAAAUUCUUAUUAAAGUGUCUAAACGUAACUGUCUUGUAACAGGAAUCAUCCAGUGCUAAACGAUAAAGUUUGGUCCAUUAUUUAGUAUUUAGUUUUCAGCCGUGCGAUAGUUAGACUAGAAGUUAGCUCAUCACGACGGUAGGGACUAUUUUCUUAACGCGCAAUGUUCAAGUUACUUCUUAUAGUGAGGCGACUGUACCGCAAGGAAAAGAAUGAAUGAAGUGACUUAAAUCGCCGCCAGAGGGAGCCAAGAGGUGCAUGGUUGUGAUGGGUUGAGCAACAGUUGACAGUUGACUUCCUGUCGGUGAGGACUGAACAAGUGUGUGUUUUCUGUGCGUGUGCGUUAUCACUCAGUAGUGAUUUUUAAUUAAAAUUUGAAUAAAUCAAUGAGCAUCCGGGCUUAAAUGACAAAUCUCACCAAGGCAGCUAUAUUCGUACACCUGUUUCUUGUUUUUAAAUGUCUCUCGAAGAGAUGAUUGCAGAAGUGAUGCUCAAGAGUGAGGUUAACAACAGUACAAUGUGCUGGGACCAUGCUGGCACCUGGACCUCAGCAUUUUCAAUCAUUGCAGAUAUUGGAUACAACAUGAUCUUCUCUCAAGAAAUAUUUUGAGUACGAGACGAGAGUUGCCGCGUGGUGUUUGUGUGCCGAGUUUCCGAUUCUUGAAGACCCAGCGCAAUGAUGUUUUGCAGCGCUCUGGCACUUCACCCAACGAUGAGCCUCUUGAUGGGCUGGUGAGUUUGCGUCAGCAUCAUUGACCGUCCAAUUGAGGAGAGUUCUGCUAAAUGACAGCCGUAUCGCAAAGUGGAGCAGCACUGUCUCAGAUGAUCUAUUUCUAGAUCUAUCAACGUAAGUUUCGCCCGCCUGCCUCUGCUGCACGAACGGAACGACUGCACGCUUACUGCUACGCUAGCUCGCAGAGGGCACAUCAAACAUCUUAUGUUUGAAGUGUGCGCUUUGCUCGGGCUCAGUCCUUAUUUAAGGUUGGUGUUGAGAGUCGGAAAACGCAAUUUCGAGACUCAUCAUCUUUACUCUUUAGCCGUGGAGCAAGAGAGGGCGCAGAGUAGAAGGGGGAACCACUGGCGGAGGAGAACACUGGGGCGAAGGUUUGCGUGGGGCGGGAAGCCAAGGCCAGCAAAGGCUGCUCGAGGAGCUGCUUGUACUGCGAGGCGCCAAGCGGCGGCAACUUCUCACGCGACUGGAGUAGGAGAGGGACCUCAACAACAACUGACGGCGGACGAGAAGAUGUACUAGCGAGUUGAUUUUCUGCCCCUUCGCGCCCCCGCCCCACCCCUCUCACAUCCCAUGGCCUCUCUAUUAUUCACCGUUGGUUGGCAAGCAGGACGGUCCCGUCUCCCGAUACAGUGUAGAAGACGAAGUAGGCUAAUUCACUGAUGAGACGCUAGUACUGUCACGGCUCCACCCUGUUGGAACACUUUACCUUUCCAUUCUUACCAUAAUUUUCAGUAAAACAAAGUGGAACCAAAUUUCUUCUUGUCUCGUAAUGUCAGGAAUGCAAAAUGUGUCUUCUUAAUAUUUAUUGUACCUGAUUGA